GGUUUCCUCAUCUGCCAGUUGGCAGAUGCUCAGCAAAUCUUCCUAGACUCACGGGGCGAAUUGUACAGUUAGGUAAAUCGAGGCCCAGAGAUGGGAAAAGGACCGUCCAAGGUCGUACAGCCACCCGGAAUUACAAUUCCUUUCUGCCAGGUCACACGCUGUCAUCCACGUGUUACCUAAGAGAGCUUUCCAGUGUGUGCUAAGAAAACUGCCCCACAUCAUCUGCAGUAGGACCGGGGAAGCUGGAGCCCUGGUCAGGCCACUCUGCUACUGACCAGUUUUCUCAUCUCUAAAAAGGCGCAGUAACAAUAUAAUUACCGUAUGGAGUCCCCCAGGAUACAGGGUCAAAGGAGAGCACAACCAUCGCAGUUUGAAGCUCAUGGGGCAGGCCCAGACUUCACCCUCAGGUCACCCUCACCUGGACUUUGGGGUGCCCCACACCCCGCCCCAGGCCCUGGCCUCUGGAAUAUUUGGAAACUUGAACGGGGCCUGAGGCUUAAGCUCACAUCUGUCUGGAGCCUCAACUUUCUCCUCUGUAAAAUGGGCUGACACUGAAAGAACCUUGCAGAAUCUCAGCAACGUCACAGUGGACAUUGUUAGCACAGCCAGCGGGCUCCUGCUGGGCUGAGUUUGUGGGUAACCCAAGCCUCGGCAGGUACAGUUCCUCCCUCAGCAGGGCCCAGGACACAGAGAGCAUACAAUAGACAUUAGCUGCUGUGGUCUCUUGAUUUCAAGCCCAGUGCAGAUGCAUCUGACUUAUGAAACUUCAGUGACACCUGCUCUGUGCCAGACACCGAAGAUGGAGCAGUGAACAGCGCUGACCCAGCCUGUCCUCCUGUUGCCUGCAGGCCAGAAGCAAGGUCUCGCUGUGUUACCCGGGCUGGAGUGCAGUGGCUACUUACAGACAUGAUCAUAGCAUACUGCAGCCUCGAACUCCUGGACUAAAGCAGUUCUCCUGCCU
rnacentral:lncRNA from 1 species